rnacentral:rRNA from 1 species
CCAGCCAUCCCGCGUGUAUGAUGAAGGCCUUCGGGUUGUAAAGUACUUUUGGCAGAGAAGAAAAGGUAUCCCCUAAUACGGGAUACUGCUGACGGUAUCUGCAGAAUAAGCACCGGCUAACUACGUGCCAGCAGCCGCGGUAAUACGUAGGGUGCAAGCGUUAAUCGGAAUUACUGGGCGUAAAGCGUGUGUAGGCGGUUCGGAAAGAAAGAUGUGAAAUCCCAGGGCUCAACCUUGGAACUGCAUUUUUAACUGCCGAGCUAGAGUAUGUCAGAGGGGGGUAGAAUUCCACGUGUAGCAGUGAAAUGCGUAGAUAUGUGGAGGAAUACCGAUGGCGAAGGCAGCCCCCUGGGAUAAUACUUACGC